rnacentral:rRNA from 1 species
GACGAACGCUGGCGGCGUGCUUAACACAUGCAAGUCGAACGGAAAGGCCCUGCUUGCAGGGUACUCGAGUGGCGAACGGGUGAGUAACACGUGGGUGAUCUGCCCUGCACUUCGGGAUAAGCCUGGGAAACUGGGUCUAAUACCGGAUAGGAGCCAUUUUUAGUGUGAUGGUUGGAAAGUUUUUUCGGUGUAGGAUGAGCUCGCGGCCUAUCAGCUUGUUGGUGGGGUAAUGGCCUACCAAGGCGGCGACGGGUAGCCGGCCUGAGAGGGUGGACGGCCAAAUGGGGACGGGGAAAGGGCCCAAACCCCUACGGGAGGAAGGAGUGGGGAAUAUUCCAAAAGGGGCGAAGGCUGUGGGGAGGGACGCCGCGGGGGGGAUGAGGGCCUUCGGGUUGAAAACCCCUUUCGCUGGGAACGAAGCUUUUGUGAGGGAACCAAGAAAAGAAACCCCGGUGAAUUACGU